rnacentral:misc_RNA from 1 species
AAUUAUCAACCUUGUUCGCUUUUACGAGCUUGAGCGAGGCUUGGAUGUGAGGGCUUGCUGGCUUCCUUCAGUGGAUUGGUCUGCUCCCUUUAAAUGCAUUAGUGGGAUCUCUUGUGGACCGUCACUUGGUGUGAUAAUUAUCUAUACCACUUGGCUUUGAAGCAAACCUUAUGGGAACCCGCUCAUAACCGUCUCUCACGAGACAGCUUUUUGACA